ensembl:lncRNA
UGUAAUCUACACCAGAAGAGCUCAUGAAUGUUCAGAGAAUGCUUAAGUGAAAGGGGAAAUCGCCAGCAGGUACCCGUUUCUGUUUUCUUCUUGUUUGUGGGACUACUCUUCCCAUGAGACAGUCACUUGAUUUGAGACCAGCCGAUUGCCUCCAGUGCGUUGUGUUGGUGAGUAGAACAGCAAAUCUUAGAGAGGACAGAUGCAGCACUUAUGAAGAGAGCCUCACUGAGACACUUUAGGUGAAGCAGAAAUAUCUUUGGGUCUCUUAAACACAGCGAGGAGCAGGAAUAAACUCUGAACAGAAGUCUUACUGAACAGCACCACCGACAGUUUGCGCCUGCAUCCACUGGCCAGUUUUAGUGUGCCUCCGUGUUCAUUGUGUGGGGGGCAAAUUUAAAUCUGCCGUAUGGCCCCGCUCAGUUUGAACUCAAUUGAAGCUUGGCCAUGUACAUUUGCUUGACUUUAACCUUUGUUCCAACACAGCUGAUUUAAAUGACCUCAACAUGUCUUGAAGUUCUUCAGAGGCUGGUAAUGAACCAAUCAUCUGACUCAGGUGUGCUGACCCAGGGUGAGAUCUAAAACCUGCAGGACACCAGCUCUCAAGGCCUGGAGGUCCCCACCCCUGGUUUAGACUCUGUGAUGGAGAUCCGAGCUAGUAGCAAACACCACUGUCAUAAAGGAAGUAGCUUCAGCAUGGAGAUGGUUGCUGUUCGUUUAUAAGUGAUCAGAUGUUCGGUGAAUCAAACAGCAGGUCUACCUGAGCUGUGGAAGCUUCUGCAACCUUGGCAUGCAUUUGCAGCCGAUGCUACAUUCAAACUAUGAACUGGUUGAAGGAGCAGUACACUCAUUGUUGCUUUCUGUGAGAGAUAUGUGAGAUUCUGGGAACCGGCACAAUACCAGCAGCUGACUUUAAAGUAUUUUGUGUGUACACUUAGAUUCUGCCUUUUGUUGUUUUCUGUGCCAUGAUAUAUACUCACAACGUAGGGCGCACUUUCCCUCCACAGAAAUGUCACGGAGGGCUUUUCCAUUUACCACUACUCUCGUAUAUAUUACUGUGUUUAAGUAUGUGCCGCUGAACCGUUUAUUCCAGUAACACUUAUGGACUUCAGCUCCAUCAGCCUGUGCGAUGAUGAAGCCUUUGGGCAAAAUUAACUGAAGUAUUUGUGUCUUAUUUGUGCAUGACGUAUAACAAAACUACAGAAUUCUUAUUGAUGAAAAUAUAGCGUAAAAUCAAACCCUUACUGACACUGCACUUCACAGCACAACAGGGUUCAGAGUCUGCUGAUAGUUUAAGGUAGGAGAUGCAAAUCUGCUGCUUUUCCUCGUCUUACUGUAAAAUAGGAGAGUCCUCAGAGGAUGCAGCUUUAAAGGGCAUCAUUGGAUCCUUUGGCCAUGCUAUAUUUGUCCAUCACAAUUCAAAUAAUGAUAUGGUAUUUUUUCCUUAAUCUUACAAUCUUAAUCUUGCUUUUUUCCCGUUUUUGGCCACAUAAUGAAACAUUUAAGUGUUUGAAAAUGUUUGAUUUUAUAAUAUUGUUCAAGUAAACAGGUUACACCAAAUCUUUACAAGUCUAUGUGUAUACUUCUUUGUUAUUGUAUUAAUCACUUGCCUGAUGCUGAUCCCUUGUGUCAAC